rnacentral:rRNA from 1 species
UAAAGAGUUCUAUAACUCCCAAACCCAUGUGAACAUACCUAACGUUGCCUCGGCAGGUCGCACCUACCUUGUAGCACCUUACCCUGUAAGGCCUACCCGGGAGGUGCGGGUAAGCCUGCCGGCGGCCCACCAAACUCUGUUUGAUAUUGAAUUCUGAACCUAUAACUAAAUAAGUUAAAACUUUCAACAACGGAUCUCUUGGUUCUGGCAUCGAUGAAGAACGCAGCGAAAUGCGAUAAGUAAUGUGAAUUGCAGAAUUCAGUGAAUCAUCGAAUCUUUGAACGCAUAUUGCGCCCAUUAGUAUUCUAGUGGGCAGGACCGUUCGAGCGUCAUUUCAACCCUUAAGCCUUCGUUGCUUAGUGUUGGGAGCCUACGGCAACGUAGCUCCUCAAAGUUAGUGGCGGAGUUGGUUCACACUCUAGACGUAGUAAUUUUUUAUCUCGCCUAUUAGUUGAACUAAUACCCUGCCGUAAAACCCCCAAUUUAUCAAGGUUGACCUCGAAUCGGUUCAGACAAACUCGCUAAAUUGAAGCAUCUUAGUCAGCGAAGGAAAAGA